GGGCUCUUAGCUUAGUCAGGUAGAGCGCUCGGCUCAUAACCGAGCGGCCACCGGUUCGAACCCGGUAGGGCCCACCA
rnacentral:tRNA from 1 species